GACGAACGCUGGCGGCGUGCUUUACACAUGCAAGUCGAACGGAAAGGCCCUGCUUUUGUGGGGUGCUCGAGUGGCGAACGGGUGAGUAACACGUGAGUAACCUGCCCUUGACUUUGGGAUAACUUCAGGAAACUGGGGCUAAUACCGGAUAGGAGCUCCUGCUGCAUGGUGGGGGUUGGAAAGUUUCGGCGGUUGGGGAUGGACUCGCGGCUUAUCAGCUUGUUGGUGGGGUAGGGGCUUACCAAGGCUUUGACGGGUAGCCGGCCUGAGAGGGUGACCGGCCACAUUGGGACUGAGAGACGGCCCAGACUCCUACGGGAGGCAGCAGUGGGGAAUAUUGCACAAUGGGCGGAAGCCUGAUGCAGCAACGCCGCGUGCGGGAUGACGGCCUUCGGGUUGUAAACCGCUUUCGCCUGUGACGAAGCGUGAGUGACGGUAAUGGGUAAAGAAGCACCGGCUAACUACGUG
rnacentral:rRNA from 1 species